CUCAGGAUGGCACCCUCUCUGUGCUAGCUGCUGCAAGCUCAGCUGGAAGGCUAACAAGAAAUCCGGAUCAUCUGGAAACCUGGAAAUGUGUAGCCGACAGUCCCAGAGCACUGGGAUUCAAGAGGCGUGAGACCGUGGCGAGGAGUAGGAGAGAUGCCUACUGAGGAGGAGACUGGACUCUUCUGCCUGGGGGCUCAAGAAGGCUGGAGCGGAGAGGGACAGGAGACCUGGAUGUGCCUGGUCCCUGAACCCCAGGACCCCCCAGCCUCUCUCGAGUUCGGAGCGGUCACCCUGGAUCCAGCUCCAGCUUCAGCGGAGCGGACCUCGGCCGCCC
ensembl:lncRNA